rnacentral:rRNA from 1 species
AUUGAACGCUGGCGGCAGGCCUAACACAUGCAAGUCGAGCGGAUGAAGGGAGCUUGCUCCUGGAUUCAGCGGCGGACGGGUGAGUAAUGCCUAGGAAUCUGCCUGGUAGUGGGGGAUAACGUCCGGAAACGGGCGCUAAUACCGCAUACGUCCUGAGGGAGAAAGUGGGUGAUCUUCGGACCUCACGCUAUCAGAUGAGCCUAGGUCGGAUUAGCUAGUUGGUGGGGUAAAGGCCUACCAAGGCGACGAUCCGUAACUGGUCUGAGAGGAUGAUCAGUCACACUGGAACGGAGACACGGUCCAGACUCCUACGGGAGGCAGCAGUGGGGAAUAUUGGACAAUGGGCGAAAGCCUGAUCCAGCCAUGCCGCGUGUGUGAAGAAGGUCUUCGGAUUGUAAAGCACUUUAAGUUGGGAGGAAGGGCAGUAAGUUAAUACCUUGCUGUUUUGACGGUACCAACAGAAUAAGCACCGGCUAACUUCGUG